rnacentral:rRNA from 1 species
UGCCAGCAGCCGCGGUAAUACAGAGGGUGCAAGCGUUAAUCGGAAUUACUGGGCGUAAAGAGUACGUAGGCGGCUUUUCAAGUCGGAUGUGAAAUCCCUGAGCUUAACUCAGGAACUGCAUUCGAUACUGGAUCGCUAGAGUAUAUUAGAGGAUAGUGGAAUUUCAAGUGUAGCGGUGAAAUGCGUAGAUAUUUGAAGGAACACCAAUGGCGAAGGCAGCUAUUUGGAAUAAUACUGACGCUGAGGUACGAAAGCGUGGGGAGCAAACAGGAUUAGAUA